rnacentral:rRNA from 1 species
GCAGCGAAACGCGAUAGUUAAUGUGAAUUGCAGAAUUCAGUGAAUCAUCGAGUCUUUGAACGCACAUUGCGCCCAUUGGUAUUCCAUUGGGCAUGUCUGUUUGAGCGUCAUUACAACCCUCGGUACCAACCGGUUUUGAGCUGGCUCGGGCCUCACCGCCCCGCCCGCUUUAAAGUUGUAAGCUCUGCUGGCCGCUCCGCCCAACCAGAACAUAGUAAAGCACUACUUGUUCAACGGUACGGGCUGAGACGGUUCCGGCCUGAACAAAACCAGAUCAUCUCAAGGUUUGACCUCAGAUCAGACAAGGAUACCCGCUGAACUUAAGCAUAUCAAUAAGCGGAGGA